rnacentral:misc_RNA from 1 species
GAUGAAGAACGCAGCGAAAUGCGAUAAGUAAUGUGAAUUGCAGAAUUCAGUGAAUCAUCGAAUCUUUGAACGCACAUUGCGCCCGCCAGUAUUCUGGCGGGCAUGCCUGUCUGAGCGUCAUUUCAACCCUCAUGCCCCUAGGGCGUGGUGUUGGGGAUCGGCCAAAGCCCGCGAGGGACGGCCGGCCCCUAAAUCUAGUGGCGGACCCGUCGUGGCCUCCUCUGCGAAGUAGUGAUAUUCCGCAUCGGAGAGCGAUGAGCCCCUGCCGUUAAACCCCCAACUUUCCAAGGUUGACCUCAGAUCAGGUAGGAAUACCCGCUGAACUUAAGCAUAUCAAUAAGCAGAGGA